UACAGAGGGGGCAAGCGUUAUUCGGAAUUAUUGGGCGUAAAGGGCGCGUAGGCGGCUUGGCAAGUGGAAGGUGAAAUCCCUCGGCUUAACCGAGGAACUGCCCUCCAAACUGCUUGGCUUGAGUCCGGGAGAGGUGAGUGGAAUUCCCAGUGUAGCGGUGAAAUGCGUAGAUAUUGGGAGGAACACCGGUGGCGAAGGCGGCUACCUGGACCGGAACUGACGCUGAGGCGCGAAAGCGUGGGUAGCAAACAGG
rnacentral:rRNA from 1 species